ensembl:lncRNA
GUUAAGGAAAGAAGUCUAUGCUGCAACCUCAGAAAAUAGGGCUGAAAAGGGACAAUAGGAAACAAAGUAAACUCCGGACUUUGGAUGGGUGCUUGUCAAACACUUCAAAGCUUGCACAAUUUCCCUGGACAACCCCUUCUACUCAAUUAAUAUUCUAACCGUUUAAUGCGUUUACUGUAAGACUUAAUUUGGUUUCUUCUCCUUUGACAUGCAGAGAAGUUUUCCAUUUUCCACUUUGUCUGUAUGUCUUAAGUAUUUGAGGACUCUUACAAAUCUCUCUCCUCAUGUGUUCUUUUCUGUAGCUGCCUUGCCCACCACACCACUCCCUUCCAUCAAGGAAGAUUUCAUCCAGUGUCUCCCCCAGUUACAAAAAUGAAAACUUGAUACCAAGUACUGUUUUAGCAUUCAGGGUUCAUUUUGCAGUGGUUUCAUUUAGUUCAUGUUUUCUGUGUUUUAUCAGAGUAUCAAAAUUUUUUAUUAUAAUCAAAGUACAUAUUCUGCUGGGACUUUCCUACCUACAAGGCCUUUUCUGUUCAGGGUGGAAAUUGGACAGCUACAAAUUAGUAUUUGACAAACCCAUGUUUAUUGUUAGUACCCGAACACACUUGUAAAACUUGACCCAAAUGAAAUGAAUAAAUGAAUUUGAGAGCAGAAAUACCUUGAUUUCCUUCAGUGUGCCCACAAAUAUCUCUGCCUUCUGGUAUCCUUAAAGAAAAGAGCCUUAUUGAUUAGCCCAGACCUCUUCCUUCUGCCCACCCUCACUUAUUUGUCAGAGACACUGCUGGAGUUCUUCAGUGAUUCCAGCUCACGUGGGAGCUCUUAAAGGUGAUGUGUAACUGAAGAGAAACUGGCUGGUGCAAUGUCUUCUAAGGCAAAUUCCACAAAGCCCAGGGGAAGCAUUUGCAAAGGCAGAGAUGCAGAAACCACUGUGCCCAAACAUAAGUUUUGAGGCUCCUGACAGGCAGAGACUCGAGCAGAAGUCUAUCAGAUCAAAUGGAGGCUGCUUGCCAUGAGAAAGAUCCUGCCAGUGUGUGCUAGUAAACCAUGUAGCUGUAUUUUAUUUACAGAGCCAAGGAAAUAAAGCAGCUCUCCUGCCUGCUGGCAGGUGUGAGGGAUCUGUUUUGGGCCAGCACUGACAGUGCUCCCCCUGCCCAGGCAGACACUCGUGGUGCCCAGUGUGCCGCAGGCUUUGCAGUUUGUGUCAUCUGGUGAAACUGCACACAAACUCCUGCAAGCAGCACAGCACCUGGGAUUUGAACAGAAUGAUUUAAAACAUGGAGUUUUUGGACUGCAAAGAACAGAUGCACUAAGCCACAAUGACACUACAUAUGUAUCUUGAAAGCAUAUUUCCAUGGAUACCUAACAAAAAUUAUCCCAAAUUAAUGUUCUUGUAAUUCAUAUUUUGAAUGUCCUCUGUGGGAGUUUGAGUUAGGAAAAAAGUAUUUUAAAUUAUUUUUUAACAUGGCUACUGCUCUUCAGCAGUUCAAGGUGAUUGGUUUAUUAGACAUUUAAAAUGUUUAAAUACAAUUAUUGACUGAACAGAAGCCUGAGCAGCCUCUUAAUUUUUUUAUGAAAAUCUAUUAUAGAUUUUCAUAAUAGUGUGGCAAAAUGAAGGUCCAAGAAAGAAAUAUUUGUGUCUUGGGAUAUCUAACAUGUAGCACACUUUAAAAAAGAUAUAAUCGUAUUAAGGUUCUUUUCACUACAGUAGCUUUUGGGAAAACUGAAAAUAACAAUAAAAAGACUCACCUGGUGUGUUUUAUUAGCUUUCUCAUGGCUCACCAGUGAUGUUGCACACUGGAGAUAUUGCCAUAUGGAUGCUAUAUAUACUUCCCUAUGAAGACAGCAAGCUGGGGAGGGUCUACUCUUCCUAUCAGGACCAUAACUAGAAUGGAUAUGAAUGAUUGCCUCUUCUGCUUCAUUCAGGAGGAAAUCUGUGAGUCACACUGCUGAAGAAUAAUUUUACCUUUCCAGUUAGUAAUCAAAUCAAAAGCCUAAAUGCUUCUGAAAGCCAGGACAGGCUCUAGGUUACUUGUCUGAAUUGUUUUUGGUUCAAAGCUUAUCUUUCAGUAGUUACUUAAAAUUUGCUGUGCUGCUAAUGAAUUUUUUAAUCAGACUUCUACCGCUCACCACACAGAAAAUAGAGUCCCUGCACCAAGGAAAUAGAGCCUCAAAGACUUGACUGAAUUUUUCAGAGCACGUGCAUGUUGAAGCCCCAAGGAUGAGGUUUUGGUCAGGUGUCCUUUUAGCAUCAGGUUAGUCCACAGUGGGGUUGUGUAUACACUCACUGAUUUCCUUUAAACAUUUUGAGAGGCUAAAGUCCAGUGAAAAUGUUACUGUUCCCAAGAAGUAAUAGCUUUCCAGAAAACUUAUAUUGGGUUUUUUUUCAGAGGACUGUAAGUGAAAUACUGCAGCUCAAAUAUGUGUACAAGUUACAUCUCAGGCUGCAGAGAAAGACUGCUGGGAUUGCUGAAACUCCUGGAGAUCUACAGCUUCAGUUUUUACAGCAGAAGCUCCUCCUGCCCCCCACCACUCCUCCUGGGAAACUCUCCAGCCCGAGGAUUGCACUUAGUUCCUGCUGGGAAAAAUUGCAUGAGAGAAUCUUAGAGAGCAGGGAAAGCAAAAUCAGGAAAUAGAGGCAAGGAACAGAAGGAAAAAAGUAAAGAACAUGCACAGAAAAGUUAAAACACGGUAAAAUUGGUCUCUAUAUAUCUCCUCAAUAGUUGGAUUACUUCAGCAGUUUGGCAGUGGAGUUGUUUUUCUACAGAAAGUGGUAGCAAAGAGUCCUAUUAAAAGUGGUGGCAGUGCUUUAAUUUACUCUUAAUUAAAUCUUACUGCAUUCUAUUUCACUUUCAAAUUUUCCUGUUUAUGGGUGAUUUGCAAUUCAUACUUACAAUUCAUGAUAAAAUUUCUGUUCAUGCAUGUGCUUUCAAUGGUUGCUAACAAAAAUUUAAUUCUAAUUUGGUAACACUACUUUUAAGAAAGACCCAGGAAAAGUGUGUAGUGUGUUUAUAUUUUGUGGUUUAUAUACAAAUAAGGGAAAGCAUUAAUUUAAAAAAGGGAAAACUCAUUUGAUGUCACAUUUUGAAGAUCCGUGUCGUCAUUUAAACACUAUGGUGACAAAAAAUGCAGGGUGGAUUUGGUUGGGGUGUGGGGGUUUUUUUGUGGGGGUUUUUUUUGGUUUUUUUUUGUUUUUUUUUUUUGUUGUUGCUUUGGUUUUGAUUUUUGCUCUGGUUUUUGUUUGGGGUUUCUUUAGGUUUUUUGGGGGUUUUUUUUGUGCGUAUGUGUUUCUGUGCAUUUGCAGUGUUGUUGGGUAUAUAUCAACUAAAUGGGAAGGAAAAGUCACCUGGGGAGACCUUGGCAGAUUCUAGCUGGAGGCUGAUUUCAAACAUUUUAUGACUGCAAAUUUGUUGCAGAGAAUCAAAGAAGUGGUAGGCAGAGCAUCCAGAAGCAGAAUAAACUAACCUCUCUCAAAUUCCAUUAGGAGAACUGGUACAGCUAGGGAAAAGAAAAGCCAGGGAAGUUUUCCUUCCCUUUGAAGCUUUUCUAGAAUGAAUCUUUAAUGAUGGGUGUCUGCAACCUCUUCCAGAUGAUCAUGAAUAUACAACCCCCAGGUUUUUAAGGCAGAGAAGAUGGAGCCUAAACAAGAAUAAGCUCAGGGUGUCACUUGCACUGAGAAUUAUCUGUAAGGAUUCCCCUGGGAUGUGAGCUAUAGUUUGUGUGGAUAAUGCUAAAGGUAGCAUUUCAGACUUGAGCAGGGUGUGUGUAGUGUUUGUUCUCUGAGCACUGAGAUCUGGAGUGACUCCAGCAGAGGAAAUGCAGAAUCCUUCCUUCUGCAGCAGGCAGAGACCAAAUGGCACAACAAAGAACAGGCUAUGAAUACUUGUGCAAAUGGAGAGAGAGAGGCACUUCAGUGAAAAUAUGCAGGAAAAAAGAAUAGUAAAAGCUGCUUUUUUGUCCCCCUUGUAAGAAAAUGUGCUUAGUAAUAGGUUCAUUUUGACUUCUAAAGGAAUUUCUGUCAAAUACAAUUAUCAGGGUAGACUACAACUGUAAAGGUAUCAAAGCUAUGUUUGCAGAAAUCAGGUUUUAGAGCACUUUGAGAUGGAAGAUAUUUGUCAAAUUUCUUUACAUGUCAUCUUAUAUUUCUUUUAUUUAUGAAUUUUCCAACUGUGGUAUAUGCUGUCUGUUUAAAGCUCCAGCAGUUUUCUUUUUUAAAAAAGUCUUUGGCAGCUGCAUUAUAUUUAUUUUGUUUUUUUCUCUUCACCACUUGAAAAACAGAAAAGGGAAACAAAGCACAGAAAUAAAGCAGUCUGUCACACUGUAAACCUCUGAAACAUAAAUAAUAAACUUUAUUUACUA